rfam:Camelus ferus unplaced genomic scaffold scaffold902, whole genome shotgun sequence.
GAGGGUAUAGCUCAAGUGGUAGAGCGCAUGCUUAGCAUGCACAAGGUCCUGGGUUCAAUCCCCAGUACCUCCU